rnacentral:rRNA from 1 species
CAGCCGCCGCGGUAAUACGGAGGGUGCAAGCGUUAAUCGGAAUUACUGGGCGUAAAGCGUGCGUAGGCGGCUUCUUAAGUCGGAUGUGAAAUCCCUGAGCUUAACUUAGGAAUUGCAUUCGAUACUGGGAAGCUAGAGUAUGGGAGAGGAUGGUAGAAUUCCAGGUGUAGCGGUGAAAUGCGUAGAGAUCUGGAGGAAUACCGAUGGCGAAGGCAGCCAUCUGGCCUAAUACUGACGCUGAGGUACGAAAGCAUGGGGAGCAAACAGGAUUAGAUACCCGAGUAGUCCCUGUCUCUUAUAC